rnacentral:rRNA from 1 species
GCUCGUAGUUGGAUUUUGGGUCGGGGGCACCGGUCCGCCGUUCCGGUGUGCACUGGUGGCUCCUUCCUUUCUGCCGGGGACGUGCGUCGCACUUAAUUGGGUGGCGUUCGGAGUCGGCGUUGUUACUUUGAAAAAAUUAGAGUGUUCAAAGCAAGCCAUCGCUCUGAAUACAUUAGCAUGGAAUAACAUGAUAGGACUCCGGUCUUAUUUUGUUGGUUUCCGAGACUGGAGUAAUGAUUAAGAGGGACAGUCGGGGGCAUCCGUAUUUCAUUGUCAGAGGUGAAAUUCUUGGAUUUAUGAAAGACGAACUUCUGCGAAAGCAUUUGCCAAGGAUGUUUUCAUUAAUCAAGAACGAAAGUUGGGGGCUCGAAGAUGAUCAGAUACCAUCCUAGUCUCAACCAUAAACGAUGCCGACUAGGGAUUGGCGGAUGUUCCUUAGAUGACUCCGCCAGCACCUUAUGAGAAAUCAUUAAGUUUUUGGGUUCCGGGGGGAGUAUGGUCGCAAGGCUGAAACUUAAAGGAA